CCUACGGGUGGCAGCAGUGAGGAAUAUUGGUCAAUGGGCGGGAGCCUGAACCAGCCAAGCCGCGUGAAGGAAGAAGGCGCUAGGAGUCGUAAACUGCUUUUGUAGGGGGACAAAGGGCGCCACGCGUGGCGUUGUGAGUGUAUCCGAAGAAAAAGCAUCGGCUAACUCCGUGCCAGCAGCCGCGGUAAUACGGAGGAUUCGAGCGUUAUCCGGAUGUAUUGGGUUUAAAGGGUGCGUAGGCGGUCCGAAAAGUUAGCGGUAAAAGCCCGGGGCUAAACCCCGGCGAGCCGUUGAAACUGUUGGACUAGAGACGGCGAGAAGUACGCGGAAUGCGCGGUGUAGCGGUGAAAUGCAUAGAUAUCGCGCAGAACACCGAUUGCGAAGGCAGCGUACCG
rnacentral:rRNA from 1 species